GACGAACGCUGGCGGCGUGCUUAACACAUGCAAGUCGAACGGAAAGGCCCUGCUUUUGUGGGGUGCUCGAGUGGCGAACGGGUGAGUAACACGUGAGUAACCUGCCCUUGACUUUGGGAUAACUUCAGGAAACUGGGGCUAAUACCGGAUAGGAGCUCCUGCUGCAUGGUGGGGGUUGGAAAGUUUCGGCGGUUGGGGAUGGACUCGCGGCUUAUCAGCUUGUUGGUGGGGUAGUGGCUUACCAAGGCUUUGACGGGUAGCCGGCCUGAGAGGGUGACCGGCCACAUUGGGACUGAGAUACGGCCCGGACUCCUACGGGAGGCAGCAGUGGGGAAUAUUGCACAAUGGGCGGAAGCCUGAUGCAGCACCGCCGCGUGCGGGAUGACGGCCUUCGGGUUGUAAACCGCUUUCGCCUGUGACGAAGCGUGAGUGACGGUAAUGGGUAAAGAAGCACCGGCUAACUACGUG
rnacentral:rRNA from 1 species